AAGAGUUUUGGCCCUGCCUGGGCAGAAACGAUAAGUGACGUGCGUUGGGAGAGCACCCUCUGAGGAGGACGCUUGGCUUACAGCUUAUCAAAAGCGAGAGGUGCCCCACAGGAGCGUCCAGGUGCUGGUAUAAAAGAUGAGGCUGAAUGAGAGCCGGACAAGAUCCUUCCAGGCUCCUGUCACCAUCCAUAAUUACCCGGGCAGGCAGGUGUAUGUGUUUCCCAAUGGCCGAUCUGAUACAGAAGAGUCAUCAGAGGAGGAACUCAAUGUCAUGGAAUUGCGACCGAGGGGCAAGGAGCAGCAGCGAUGCAGCACUUCUCGGGACAGAGUUGGAGAUGUGGUACUUCUGGAACGAGAGAUUACAGAGGAUGAUAACCUUAACAAGCUAGCCCUGCAGUAUGGUUGUAAAGUUGCAGAUAUCAAACGUGUCAACAACUUCAUCCGGGAGCAGGACUUGUACGCACUGAAGUCCAUCAAGAUCCCCGUGAAGACCCACGGGCUGUUAACGGAGAACGGCAGAGAACUAAGGCCGCUCCCGACUGCGCCCUCCCAGACCGGCCUGACGCUCGUGGACUUACCGGAGCCUGAUGACGGUGCGAGCAGCUCCGCUGAUGGCGGACACCUGAGCGACUACUUCAAGGGGAUUGACAAGAGCAUUCAGGACGCGGUGCAGGUGGAGGUCCAGCUAAACGCGGAGUAUUGCAUGGAAGCGCUGGAGAGGCGGCUGCCCGAGUCAGGGAAGCAGGAGACCAGUAACGGUGCGGACUGUGGAAUCCAGUGGUGGAACGCAGUUUUUAUUAUGCUCCUGAUAGGAAUUGUCCUGCCAGUAUUUUAUAUCAUCUAUUUUAAAACACAAGGCCUGGUGGCCCAUACCUCCAACACCACACUAACCUCAAAUAUUUCAACAGCUGUAUCGGAAGGGAAAUUACCACAAAACUCAACCGUAGAAAAAAAAUCCUAAGGGGGAGAGGCAGCCAAAUACAGCCUCUCCUCCCGGCACUGAAGCCCGGACACCAGUGACUCUGACUCGCCUGCAUUCAGGGGGAUAACAAUACAGAUUAUUUUUAUUUUUUUAAGUAGCUGAUGUUGUAAUCCUGAGCUUGACUGAAAGUGAGGUGAUGUGAUUUUUGUGGAAAACCAAGGAUGCUUUCUUGCUUACAAAGAUCAUCAGGCAGCUGGCUUAACAUUCGUGAACUCUGUUGAGGGAAAGUAUUUUGUAGCAAUUUACUCAUCUUGGUUGCUUCAGACCAUGGCAGUUUUGGCAUACUUAACCCUAAAAUGAUGAACUUCCAGUGCAUUAAGCUAGGUGUGCCACAGCACAAGGAUGCCGACAGCACCUCACCUUUUCAUCCUUUUGAGCAAAUGUUUAAGCUGUGUUUAUUGGGAUGCUUCAAGCCCACCAGUGGGAAGGGUGAGCCCAGACCUCCUCCCCUCGAUGAAAUCCUUCAGAGAUUCUCUUGAAACCCGGUGGCUCUGCAGGCGGAGCUCAUUGCAGAAUCCGUGCUUGCGCCAGGGUAUCGCUCGUCCAGAGCCAAUACUGCAGCAUGACCGCAGAUGGCCAAAGAGUGUUGGAGAAGAACGUGAGUGUAGCGUUAGGCCUGUGGUAUGUAGUACGCGCUUCUCAAAGGCUCAUUUGUUGGGGGGAGGUCUAGCCAGUAUUACUUUAAAAAAAAAAAAAAAUCCAUAAUGGUGCAUCUCAAACACCCAAUUUCAGUCAUGGGCUUGAGUUUCCUUGUUUGUAGUCUUCAUGUGAGAGAGCAUUGCCAAGUUGCAUUAAAUUUUCAAGGUCCAGGAAAGAAGCCCUGCAUUGUUACCUUAGACAGUCACGGAAGGAAGUGUAAAUCCUUCAUAGGACGGGGAUGGUGAAGGUGCUGAUUGUUAAGCGUUUCUGUGAACUGCUGAUAUUUGCAUUAAAAAGUUUCUGAGUGCGUAGGAAGACCAAUGACGCUUGGGAGGCUGGUGGUGUCCCGAGGUGUCGGUAAGCCCGAGGUCUGUGCUCUUUAGGACAAGUCAGUAAAAACUACGUGCUAGAAGUGAGCAGAAAGUGAGGCUUUGGGGAGCUUUGCUGCAGAGAAGAACUUGCCUCAAAAACUUAAUUCAGCAAAUUCAGGGACUGCGGGCAGAGGUAAAUGCUCUCCUAGAACCAAACACUAAGGUAUUUUGCAGCACAGUUGCAUGAAACCUGGCCAGGGAUGGGGUAACGUAUGGUGUAAGUAAGUAGCAGCCAGCUGAAAGCGGCUGGCUCUGUUUCGGUAAGGGUCCUAGCCCUUUCCUGGGGCUCGUCUCCUGCCGUGGAGCUGGCAGCUGCUGUCGGUCCCGAGACUGAGGGCAGAGCUGGUGGGCAGAGCUGGCGGGCAGGUGGACGAAGCUGUUGUUCGUCCUCCCCUCCUUGCCCUGCGCCAGCCCCUCCUGCCCCCGGAUCUGUUCUGUUAGAAGCCGCGCAGGCGGUGCAGGGGUCAGCCCUGCCGUGCUGGCGGGAGGGCAGCCUGUGCGGAGCCUUUCACCAGCGGGCACGGCCGCCACCGAGGCCUGCUGGGGUAGGAGCAAGGGCAGCAGCUUCCGCAAGGCCAGAGCUGUGCUGCCUUGCGGCAGGGGCUGCCGACCCUGCCCACGGUGGCAGCGCGUCACAGCGGGGGAACUUGCGAGUUGCUGCUUUGGUUUUUCGUUGGGUUUUUUUGAAAGCCUUAGUGGACCCUGGUGCUUACAGCUCCGCCAGUGAAGCUGGGGGAGAGCUGCGCUGCAGGCAUCUCUUGCUGGCCUGAGGAAGCGUCUGCAGGGAGCGGGGGGAGGCGGGACUGAGGCUUCCCAGCACCCUGAGGAACACCAUGCCAAGCAAGCAGAACCAUAUGAUGUUCUAACGAUAACCUGUGUUUCCUGCAACCAUCAAAAAAAAAGUGCUCAGGAAAGCCUGAGGGAACCUAAUUUUCUAAACGAGGACUCUGAAGUAUCAUACUGAAAAAAAGAAAUCCCUUGUAUUUUUCUUCUGUGAAGGAGAUGUAACUGUCAUUGUUCUGGGGGGGGAUAAUUACAUUUUUAAAUAAAGCAAAAUGAAAUAAAAGCACAAGG